UCGCAGCAACAGUGGUUUUUCAAACAUUUAUCAACUGUCAAAACUUCAAGGAAAUGUGAGACGAUUUACAAAUCGUUAUUUUUCGAAUCUUCCAAGAAACGGACAUAUCCGCUCGCCGCGGAUUCCAUGUUAGGAAUUUGCUUAUAGCCAGGUCCUGAAUCUGCUGCUGCAAUUUAGAGAAAAAAAAAACAAAACAAGAAGCUCAGCAGCUGUGCCGCAACCAUUUCAGCGACGACGGUGCAAGUGAAAUCGUCGGCCAAUUUGUUUGGAGAAAACAGUGGAUGUCGUGGAUCUAAAUACAUAUAAAUGGGACCGAUUCCAACUGUGUUGGUCAACGUUUAGUGUGGAGACGUGUAAGCAGCCCCAUGGGUUGCUUUCUAAAUCAAAAGGCAUAUCUAAGCUUCCCGACAAAACACGAACAGCACGGAUUCCAAACAGCGCAAAUCGCUGGGCCAACAACAAAGAUUUUCGACUAUUUGGGUAGCUCUGCGGAACAAGUCGGCGAUGGAACCAUCUGUCCUCUAGCUUGGACCGCCUUCAAACAUCGUAAAAAUUCACCUGCAGCCUUUGUCAGCGAUUCUUUCGUCUACGUUCGGUGCGCGGGCAGUUUGACGGAGCCUAUUUCCUCAAGAACCACGUCGUGAAAUAAAGCAAAAUCAAAUGUUUUAUUGCAUCAUGUUCUAUGUAAUCAGUUGAUAAUAAACUAUUGGAUUUAAAAA